AGAGUUUGAUCCUGGCUCAGAAUAAACGCUGGCGGCGUGCCUAACACAUGCAAGUCGAGCGAGAAAGCUCCUUCGGGAGUAAGUAAAGCGGCAGACGGGUGAGUAACGCGUGAGAAUCUACCUUCUAGUGGAGAAUACCUUCGAGAAAUCGAAGCUAAUACUGCAUAAGUCCCUUCGGGGAGAAAGAUGGCCUCUUUGCUGUCGCUGGAAGAUGAGCUUGCGUGCUAUUAGCUAGUUGGUAAGGUAAAGGCUUACCAAGGCGAUGAUAGCUAGCCGGCCUGAGAGGGUGUACGGCCACACUGGAACUUAGACACGGUCCAGACUCCUACGGGAGGCAGCAGUGAGGAAUCUUGCGCAAUGGGCGAAAGCCUGACGCAGCGACGCCGCGUGGAGGAUGACGGUCUUCGGAUUGUAAA
rnacentral:rRNA from 1 species